CCUACGGGUGGCUGCAGUGAGGAAUAUUGGUCAAUGGCCGUAAGGCUGAACCAGCCAAGUCGCGUGAAGGAAGAAGGAUCUAUGGUUUGUAAACUUCUUUUAUAGGGGAAUAAAUGUAUCCACGUGUGUAUAUUUGCAUGUACCCUAUGAAUAAGCAUCGGCUAACUCCGUGCCAGCAGCCGCGGUAAUACGGAGGAUGCGAGCGUUAUCCGGAUUUAUUGGGUUUAAAGGGUGCGUAGGUUGUUUUUUAAGUCAGCGGUGAAAGUUUGGGGCUCAACCAUGACAUUGCCUGUGAUACGGGAAGGCUUGAGUGUAGUUGAGGUAGGCGGAAUGCGUGGUGGAGCGGGGAAAUGCAUAGAGAUCACACAGAACACCGAUUGCGAAGGCAGCUUACUAAGCCAUAACUGACGCUGAAGCACGAAAGCGUGGGGAGCAAACAGGAUUAGAUACCCUUGUAGUC
rnacentral:rRNA from 1 species